AGCGAACGCUGGCGGCAGGCCUAACACAUGCAAGUCGAACGAACUCUUCGGAGUUAGUGGCGGACGGGUGAGUAACACGUGGGAACGUGCCUUUUGGUUCGGAAUAACUCAGGGAAACUUGUGCUAAUACCGAAUGUGCCCUUCGGGGGAAAGAUUUAUCGCCAUUAGAGCGGGCCGCGUCUGAUUAGCUAGUUGGUGAGGUAACGGCUCACCAAGGCGACGAUCAGUAGCUGGUCUGAGAGGAUGACCAGCCACACUGGGACUGGGACACGGCCCAGACUCCGACGGGAGGCAGCAGUGAGGAAUCGUGCGCAAUGGGAGAAAGGAUGACGCAGCCAUGCCGCGUGAAUGAUGAAGGUCUUAGGAUUGUAAAAUUCUUUCACCGGGGACGAUAAUGACGGUACCCGGAGAAGAAGCCCCGGCUAACUUCGUG
rnacentral:rRNA from 1 species